rnacentral:tRNA from 1 species
GGAGUUGUGGCUCAGUGGUAGAGCACCCGUCUAGCAUGUGUGAGGCCCUGGGUUUGAUCCUCAGCACCA